rnacentral:rRNA from 1 species
AACGAACGCUGGCGGCAUGCCUAACACAUGCAAGUCGAACGAUGCUUUCGGGCAUAGUGGCGCACGGGUGCGUAACGCGUGGGAAUCUGCCUUGGGGUACGGAAUAACUCAGAGAAAUUUGAGCUAAUACCGUAUGAUGUCUUCGGACCAAAGAUUUAUCGCCCUGAGAUGAGCCCGCGUAGGAUUAGCUAGUUGGUGGGGUAAAGGCCUACCAAGGCGACGAUCCUUAGCUGGUCUGAGAGGAUGAUCAGCCACACUGGGACUGAGACACGGCCCAGACUCCUACGGGAGGCAGCAGUGGGGAAUAUUGGACAAUGGGCGCAAGCCUGAUCCAGCAAUGCCGCGUGAGUGAUGAAGGCCUUAGGGUUGUAAAGCUCUUUUACCCGGGAAGAUAAUGACUGUACCGGGAGAAUAAGCCCCGGCUAACUCCGUGCCAGCAGCCGCCGCAG